rnacentral:rRNA from 1 species
GACGAACGCUGGCGGCGUGCCUAAUACAUGCAAGUUGAGCGCUGAAGGUUGGUACUUGUACCAACUGGAUGAGCAGCGAACGGGUGAGUAACGCGUGGGGAAUCUGCCUUUGAGCGGGGGACAACAUUUGGAAACGAAUGCUAAUACCGCAUAAAAACUUUAAACACAAGUUUUAAGUUUGAAAGAUGCAAUUGCAUCACUCAAAGAUGAUCCCGCGUUGUAUUAGCUAGUUGGUGAGGUAAAGGCUCACCAAGGCGAUGAUACAUAGCCGACCUGAGAGGGCGAUCGGCCACAUUGGGACUGAGACACGCCCCAAACUCCUACGGGAGGCAGCAGUAGGGAAUCUUCGGCAAUGGACGAAAGUCUGACCGAGCAACGCCGCGUGAGUGAAGAAGGUUUUCGGAUCGUAAAACUCUGUUGGUAGAGAAGAACGUUGGUGAGAGUGGAAAGCUCAUCAAGUGACGGUAACUACACAGAAAGGGACGGCUAACUACGUG